rnacentral:rRNA from 1 species
UACGUAGGGUGCAAGCGUUGUCCGGAAUUAUUGGGCGUAAAGAGCUCGUAGGCGGUUUGUUGCGUCGGCUGUGAAAUCCCGAGGCUCAACCUCGGGUCUGCAGUCGAUACGAGCAAACUAGAGUGUUGCAGGGGAGACUGGAAUUCCUGGUGUAGCGGUGAAAUGCGCAGAUAUCAGGAGGAACACCGGUGGCGAAGGCGGCACUCUGGGCCGGUACUGACGCUGAGGAGCGAAAGCGUGGGGAGCGAACAGG